UGGAAAGUGUCGACGAAUCAUCCAAUUUCUUGGACAGAAAAAUCCGUCCAAUUUCUCGGAUUCAAGAAAUUGGAUCGUGUAAACAGGUCUUUACAGUCAGAUGAAUGAAUAAACAAACAAAAAUAUCGGAUUGUUUUCAAGAAAAACGAUUUUCGGGUAUAUUCAGUUGAAGAUUAAGCUCGACAAAUGACCCUGACAGUUAAAGACAUUAAAUUUAUAUGGGCUGAAAUUCCAUCAGAUCCUGACACAUCAGAAUGCAAAAUAUACAAUUGCGAAUAUAAAAACUUCAAAACUGUGAAUGAUAAUAAAGUUUUUUUAAAAUUAA